UUCCUUAAGUGAAGAUGUUGCAAAGUUUAUGGGGUGCCCUUUCUCUUCAAUGGAAGAGAAGGAAGGGGUAGUUAAUCAAAUAAUAAAGCUAUGCAGUUUUGAGAAUUUAAGCAAUUUGGCAGUGAAUAAAAUUGAAGAAAAUGGUAGUGGUAUCCCGAACAGAGUCUUCUUCGGGCAAGGUA